UGUGUGUGUGUGUGUGUGUGUGUGUAUAUAUAUAUAUAUAUAUAUAGGUUGAAGGAUGUGUGUGUGUAUAUAUAUAUAUAUAUAUAUGUGUGUGUGUGUGUGUGUGUGUGUGUGUGUGUGUGUGUGUGCACACACACACACACACAAAUAUAUAUGUACACACACACAC
rnacentral:snoRNA from 1 species